rnacentral:rRNA from 1 species
GAUGAACGCUAGCUACAGGCUUAACACAUGCAAGUCGAGGGGAAACGAUGAGAGAGCUUGCUCUCUUAGUCGUCGACCGGCGCACGGGUGAGUAACGCGUAUCCAACCUGCCUCUGACCAAGGGAUAACCCGUCGAAAGUCGGACUAAUACCUUAUGCAGUCGUCGGAAGUCAUCUGAUGACGACGAAAGAUUUCAUCGGUGAGAGAUGGGGAUGCGUCUGAUUAGCUUGUUGGCGGGGUAACGGCCCACCAAGGCGACGAUCAGUAGGGGUUCUGAGAGGAAGGUCCCCCACAUUGGAACUGCGACACGGUCCAAACUCCUACGGGAGGCAGCAGUGAGGAAUAUUGGUCAAUGGGCGUAAGCCUGAACCAGCCAAGUAGCGUGCAGGAUGACGGCCCUAUGGGUUGUAAACUGCUUUUAUGCGGGGAUAAAGUGAGGGACGUGUCCUUCAUUGCAGGUACCGCAUGAAUAAGGACCGGCUAAUUCCGUG